CCUACGGGAGGCAGCAGUGAGGAAUAUUGGUCAAUGGACGAGAGUCUGAACCAGCCAAGUAGCGUGAAGGAUGACUGCCCUAUGGGUUGUAAACUUCUUUUAUAUGGGAAUAAAACGUUCCACGUGUGGGAUUUUGUAUGUACCAUAUGAAUAAGGAUCGGCUAACUCCGUGCCAGCAGCCGCGGUAAUACGGAGGAUCCGAGCGUUAUCCGGAUUUAUUGGGUUUAAAGGGAGCGUAGGUGGAUUGUUAAGUCAGUUGUGAAAGUUUGCGGCUCAACCGUAAAAUUGCAGUUGAAACUGGCAGUCUUGAGUACAGUAGAGGUGGGCGGAAUUCGGGGUGUAGCGGUGAAAUGCUUAGAUAUCACGAAGAACUCCGAUUGCGAAGGCAGUUCACUGGACUGCAACUGAUACUGAGGCUCGAAAGUGUGGGUAUCAAACAGGAUUAGAUACCCCAGUAGUC
rnacentral:rRNA from 1 species